CAUGAAAGGCGUAUACCAUUUCGCCAUUCUCGAUGUUAAAAGCUCGAUGUUAGACUAAACGUGGUUCUAUUCAAACCGUCGCUUCCUAGUAAUAUGGGACCUAUAGUUCUGCUACUCGUGUUUGUGGUCGUACUCAUAGAUGUAGACUUCGCAGCAGCAUUACCCAUUCCUAGAAAUAAGGGACAUUAGCCAGAGGUUUCUCUGGGGCUCACAUUUUGCUAGGCCCGCGAGGAAUAACAGCGGUAUCACAAAUAAAAACGAGAUUCCGGCCAGCACAGGGGCUUCCCUUUUGUUGUUACACUAGAAGUUUUUAAUCAGGUUGACUAAAAUUCCAAAUAAAAGUAGUAUUAGCGGUA